AUUGAACGCUGGCGGCAUGCCUUACACAUGCAAGUCGAACGGUAACAGGUCUUCGGAUGCUGACGAGUGGCGAACGGGUGAGUAAUACAUCGGAACGUGCCCAGACGUGGGGGAUAACGAGGCGAAAGCUUUGCUAAUACCGCAUACGAUCUAAGGAUGAAAGCAGGGGACCGCAAGGCCUUGCGCGGUUGGAGCGGCCGAUGGCAGAUUAGGUAGUUGGUGGGAUAAAAGCUUACCAAGCCGACGAGCUGUAGCUGGUCUGAGAGGACGACCAGCCACAUUGGGACUGAGACACGGCCCAGACUCCUACGGGAGGCAGCAGUGGGGAAUGUUGGACAAUGGGCGAAAGCCUGAUCCAGCAAUGCCGCGUGCAGGAUGAAGGCCUUCGGGUUGUAAACUGCUUUUGUACGGAACGAAAAGGCUCUGGCUAAUACCUGGGGCACAUGACGGUACCGGAAGAAUAAGCACCGGCUAACUACGUG
rnacentral:rRNA from 1 species